rnacentral:rRNA from 1 species
GAUUAACGCUGGCGGCGUGCAUAACACAUGCAAGUCGAACGAUGAAACUUUACUGACUUCUUCGGAAUGAUUUAAAGCGGAUUAGUGGCGAACGGGUGAGUAACGCGUGAGUAACCUGCCUUACACAAGGGGAUAGCCUCUGGAAACGGAGAAUAAUACCCUAUGAAACCAGACAAUCGCAUGAUAAUCUGGUCAAAAUGUUUAGUGGUGUAAGAUGGACUUGCGUCUGAUUAGCUAGUUGGUGAGAUAAAAGCUCACCAAGGCAACGAUCAGUAGCCGGCUUGAGAGAGUGUACGGCCACAUUGGGACUGAGACACGGCCCAGACUCCUACGGGAGGCAGCAGUGGGGAAUUUUGCACAAUGGGGGAAACCCUGAUGCAGCGACGCCGCGUGAUUUAGAAGGCCUUCGGGUUGUAAAAAUCUUUUGUAUAGGAAGAAAAUGACAGUACUAUACGAAUAAGGUCCGGCUAAGUACGUG